UGAGGAAUAUUGGUCAAUGGACGAGAGUCUGAACCAGCCAAGUAGCGUGCAGGAUGACGGCCCUAUGGGUUGUAAACUGCUUUUGCAGGAGGAUAAAGUGAGUCACGUGUGGUUCAUUGCAGGUAUCCUGCGAAUAAGGACCGGCUAAUUCCGUGCCAGCAGCCGCGGUAAUACGGAAGGUCCGGGCGUUAUCCGGAUUUAUUGGGUUUAAAGGGAGCGUAGGCCGUCUGGUAAGCGUGUUGUGAAAUGUACCGGCUCAACCGGUGAUGUGCAGCGCGAACUGUCGGACUUGAGUGCGCGCAACGCAGGCGGAAUUUGUGGUGUAGCGGUGAAAUGCUUAGAUAUCACGAAGAACUCCGAUUGCGAAGGCAGCUCACUGGAGCGCAACUGACGCUGAAGCUCGAAAGUGCGGGUAUCGAACAGGAUUAGAUACCCUGGGUA
rnacentral:rRNA from 1 species